rnacentral:rRNA from 1 species
UACAGAGGGUGCGAGCGUUAAUCGGAAUUACUGGGCGUAAAGCGCGCGUAGACGGUUUUGUAAGUCAGAUGUGAAAUCCCUGGGCUCAACCUGGGAACUGCAUUUGAGACUGCAUGGCUAGAGUAUGGAAGAGGGAAGUGGAAUUUCCGGUGUAGCGGUGAAAUGCGUAGAUAUCGGAAGGAACACCAGUGGCGAAGGCGGCAUCCUGGACCAAUUCUGACGCUGAGGAGCGAAAGCCAGGGGAGCAAACGGG